rnacentral:rRNA from 1 species
GACGAACGCUGGCGGCGUGCCUAAUACAUGCAAGUUGAGCGCUGAAGGUUGGUACUUGUACCAACUGGAUGAGCAGCGAACGGGUGAGUAACGCGUGGGGAAUCUGCCUUUGAGCGGGGGACAACAUUUGGAAACGAAUGCUAAUACCGCAUAAAAACUUUAAACACAAGUUUUAAGUUUGAAAGAUGCAAUUGCAUCACUCAAAGAUGAUCCCGCGUUGUAUUAGCUAGUUGGUGAGGUAAAGGCUCACCAAGGCGAUGAUACAUAGCCGACCUGAGAGGGUGAUCGACCACAUUGGGACUGAGACACGGCCCAAACUCCUACGGGAGGCAGCAGUAGGGAAUCUUCGGCAAUGGACGAAAGUCUGACCGAGCAACGCCGCGUGAGUGAAGAAGGGUUUCGGAUCGUAAAACUCUGUUGGUAGAGAAGAACGUUGGUGAGAGUGGAAAGCUCAUCAAGUGACGGUAACUACCCAGAAAGGGACGGCUAACUACGUG